GUGGGGAAUUUUGGACAAUGGGCGCAAGCCUGAUCCAGCCAUGCCGCGUGCAGGAUGAAGGCCUUCGGGUUGUAAACUGCUUUUGUACGGAACGAAAAAGCUCUCUCUAAUACAGGGGGUGAAUGACGGUACCGUAAGAAUAAGCACCGGCUAACUACGUGCCAGCAGCCGCGGUAAUACGUAGGGUGCAAGCGUUAAUCGGAAUUACUGGGCGUAAAGCGUGCGCAGGCGGUUAUGUAAGACAGAGGUGAAAUCCCCGGGCUCAACCUGGGAACUGCCUUUGUGACUGCAUAGCUGGAGUGCGGCAGAGGGGGAUGGAAUUCCGCGUGUAGCAGUGAAAUGCGUAGAUAUGCGGAGGAACACCGAUGGCGAAGGCAAUCCCCUGGGCCUGCACUGACGCUCAUGCACGAAAGCGUGGGGAGCAAACAGGAUUAGAUACCCCAGUAGUCC
rnacentral:rRNA from 1 species